UACGGGGGGAGCAAGCGUUGUUCGGAAUUACUGGGCGUAAAGGGCUCGUAGGCGGCCAACUAAGUCAGACGUGAAAUCCCUCGGCUUAACCGGGGAACUGCGUCUGAUACUGGAUGGCUAGAGGUUGGGAGAGGGAUGCGGAAUUCCAGGUGUAGCGGUGAAAUGCGUAGAUAUCUGGAGGAACACCGGUGGCGAAGGCGGCAUCCUGGACCAAUUCUGACGCUGAGGAGCGAAAGCCAGGGGAGCAAACGGG
rnacentral:rRNA from 1 species